rnacentral:rRNA from 2 species
GGUGUGCCUAAUACAUGCAAGUCGAACGCGUUGGUCCAAUUGAUUGAUGGUGCUUGCACCUGAUUGAUUUUGGUCGCCAACGAGUGGCGGACGGGUGAGUAACACGUAGGUAACCUGCCCAGAAGCGGGGGACAACAUUUGGAAACAGAUGCUAAUACCGCAUAACAGCGUUGUUCGCAUGAACAACGCUUAAAAGAUGGCUUCUCGCUAUCACUUCUGGAUGGACCUGCGGUGCAUUAGCUUGUUGGUGGGGUAAUGGCCUACCAAGGCGAUGAUGCAUAGCCGAGUUGAGAGACUGAUCGGCCACAAUGGGACUGAGACACGGCCCAUACUCCUACGGGAGGCAGCAGUAGGGAAUCUUCCACAAUGGGCGCAAGCCUGAUGGAGCAACACCGCGUGAGUGAAGAAGGGUUUCGGCUCGUAAAGCUCUGUUGUUAAAGAAGAACACGUAUGAGAGUAACUGUUCAUACGUUGACGGUAUUUAACCAGAAAGUCACGGCUAACUACGUGCCAGCAGCCGCGGUAAUACGUAGGUGGCAAGCGUUAUCCGGAUUUAUUGGGCGUAAAGAGAGUGCAGGCGGUUUUCUAAGUCUGAUGUGAAAGCCUUCGGCUUAACCGGAGAAGUGCAUCGGAAACUGGAUAACUUGAGUGCAGAAGAGGGUAGUGGAACUCCAUGUGUAGCGGUGGAAUGCGUAGAUAUAUGGAAGAACACCAGUGGCGAAGGCGGCUACCUGGUCUGCAACUGACGCUGAGACUCGAAAGCAUGGGUAGCGAACAGGAUUAGAUACCCUGGUAGUCCAUGCCGUAAACGAUGAGUGCUAGGUGUUGGAGGGUUUCCGCCCUUCAGUGCCGGAGCUAACGCAUUAAGCACUCCGCCUGGGGAGUACGACCGCAAGGUUGAAACUCAAAGGAAUUGACGGGGGCCCGCACAAGCGGUGGAGCAUGUGGUUUAAUUCGAAGCUACGCGAAGAACCUUACCAGGUCUUGACAUCUUGCGCCAACCCUAGAGAUAGGGCGUUUCCUUCGGGAACGCAAUGACAGGUGGUGCAUGGUCGUCGUCAGCUCGUGUCGUGAGAUGUUGGGUUAAGUCCCGCAACGAGCGCAACCCUUGUUACUAGUUGCCAGCAUUAAGUUGGGCACUCUAGUGAGACUGCCGGUGACAAACCGGAGGAAGGUGGGGACGACGUCAGAUCAUCAUGCCCCUUAUGACCUGGGCUACACACGUGCUACAAUGGACGGUACAACGAGUCGCGAACUCGCGAGGGCAAGCAAAUCUCUUAAAACCGUUCUCAGUUCGGACUGCAGGCUGCAACUCGCCUGCACGAAGUCGGAAUCGCUAGUAAUCGCGGAUCAGCAUGCCGCGGUGAAUACGUUCCCGGGCCUUGUACACACCGCCCGUCACACCAUGAGAGUUUGUAACACCCAAAGUCGGUGGGGUAACCUUUUAGGAGCCAGCCGCCUAAGGUGGGACAGAUGA